UACGAAGGGGGGCUAGCGUUGCUCGGAAUCACUGGGCGUAAAGCGCACGUAGGCGGCGUCUUAAGUCAGGGGUGAAAUCCUGGAGCUCAACUCCAGAACUGCCUUUGAUACUGAGGAUCUUGAGUACGGGAGAGGUGAGUGGAACUGCGAGUGUAGAGGUGAAAUUCGUAGAUAUUCGCAAGAACACCAGUGGCGAAGGCGACUAACUGGACAUGUAUUGACGCUGAGGUGCGAAAGCGUGGGGAGCGAACAGG
rnacentral:rRNA from 1 species